GGCGGGCGCAGCGAGCGCGCGCGGCCCGCCCCCUCCUUCCUCUCUGUGGUGGCUUGUGGGCGGCAUGGCGGCCGGGCCGAGGGCGAGCAUGGCUUGGUGUUGAGCAAAGGUAAAACCACUCACCUGCCUGAGAAGCGGCUGCUCUGUCAGUUUCUGCACCGACACCAAACCCACACCAGCUGCAUGAUGGAGGAAACGGCCCUGCAGGAUCCUGGGCUUGUGCUGUGGCCCAAAGAUGGCUUUGGCAAGAGGGCAGCUGCUAAGCUGGGCUUCAGGCUGAAGAUCAAUAACGUUGGCUGACAGGCUGAGCUGGCAAACUUGAUGAGCGUGGACUUCCUUAAGAAAUCAAGGUUGGUGUGCAAAAGGGGAGGGAAUGGUGCUACAAACCAGUAGUCAAGUGGUUGCUCUGUCAAUAGGGCUGUGUUCCAAGCGGGACCAGUCACUGGGAAGAGCACGUGGGGCUUCUGGCUUCCAAGGAAUAAGGGGAAAAAAAGUGAAGGGGUGGCCUGGUGACAAAUAGAGAAAGUAAAAGCUACUCGGGGCUUUAAGAAUGGAGAGGGGCAGGAAUUGUUUCAGAUUUAACUUUAGGAAAGUGCUUACAGCAUUGCUUUGUGGUGUCUCCCAGCUCUAGAAGCAGCAGAGGGAAGGUUGUUCUGGAGUGGGUCUCGCAAGUGGCCACCGAGAUGUCAUUCAGAAGGGUGUAAAACAGCCACCUGCGUGGGACUGUGGGCUCCUCGCUGCUCAGGGGCUGCUGCAACCACAUCCUGGGUGAGUUCCCAGUAAAGCCAGAGAGGAUUUGGGUACUGGUGCCAUUGGCCUGGGAGGGAGCAAGAGGAUUUGGGUACUGGUGCCAUUGGCUUGGGAGGGAGCAAGUGUUUGUUUCCUGAGACCUGUACUCUCCACAAAAUAGUGCAAACCAGGAGCUUUCCAGGUGACAGCUGCUUUGCUCUGACACUUACCUUUUUUCCACUAGGACCUGAUCUACAGCUGGCUGGAGGAAAAAGUGGUUCCCUGCGUUCUUCUGUUCCAGAAUAAAAUAAGUUAUGGGAAAUCUUGGGAGCUGAAG
rnacentral:lncRNA from 1 species